AGUGAACGCUGGCGGUAGGCCUAACACAUGCAAGUCGAACGGCAGCACAGUAAGAGCUUGCUCUUACGGGUGGCGAGUGGCGGACGGGUGAGGAAUACAUCGGAAUCUACUUUUUCGUGGGGGAUAACGUAGGGAAACUUACGCUAAUACCGCAUACGACCUACGGGUGAAAGCAGGGGAUCUUCGGACCUUGCGCGACUGAAUGAGGCGAUGUCGGAUUAGCUAGUUGGCGGGGUAACGGCCCACCAAGGCGACGAUCCGUAGCUGGUCUGAGAGGAUGAUCAGCCACACUGGAACUGAGACACGGUCCAGACUCCUACGGGAGGCAGCAGCGGGGAAUAUUGGACAAUGGGCGCAAGCCUGAUCCAGCCAUACCGCGUGAGUGAAGAAGGCCUUCGGGUUGUAAAGCCCUUUUGUUGGGAAAGAAAAGCAGCAGGUUAAUACCCCGCUGUUCUGACGGUACCCAAAGAAUAAGCACCGGCUAACUUCGUG
rnacentral:rRNA from 1 species